AGUGAACGCUGGCGGUAGGCCUAACACAUGCAAGUCGAACGGCAGCACAGUAAGAGCUUGCUCUUACGGGUGGCGAGUGGCGGACGGGUGAGGAAUACAUCGGAAUCUACUUUUUCGUGGGGGAUAACGUAGGGAAACUUACGCUAAUACCGCAUACGACCUACGGGUGAAAGCAGGGGAUCUUCGGACCUUGCGCGAUUGAAUGAGCCGAUGUCGGAUUAGCUAGUUGGCGGGGUAAAGGCCCACCAAGGCGACGAUCCGUAGCUGGUCUGAGAGGAUGAUCAGCCACACUGGAACUGAGACACGGUCCAGACUCCUACGGGAGGCAGCAGUGGGGAAUAUUGGACAAUGGGCGCAAGCCUGAUCCAGCCAUACCGCGUGGGUGAAGAAGGCCUUCGGGUUGUAAAGCCCUUUUGUUAGGAAAGAAAAGCAGCAGGUUAAUACCCCGCUGUUCUGACGGUACCUAAAGAAUAAGCACCGGCUAACUUCGUG
rnacentral:rRNA from 1 species